GGUUGUCGUCAGCUCGUGUCGUGAGAUGUUGGUUAAGUCCCGCAACGAGCGCAACCCUCGACCCUAGUUGCCAGCAUUCAGUUGGGCACUCUAAGGUGACUGCCGGCUAAAAGUCGGAGGAAGGUGGGGAUGACGUCAAAUCAUCAUGCCCCUUAUGACCUGGGCUACACACGUGCUACAAUGGGCGGUACAAAGGGUCGCGAACCCGCGAGGGGGAGCCAAUCCCAAAAAGCCGCUCUCAGUUCGGAUUGCAGGCUGCAACUCGCCUGCAUGAAGCCGGAAUCGCUAGUAAUCGCGGAUCAGCAUGCCCGCGGUCGAAUACGUUCCGGGCCUU
rnacentral:rRNA from 1 species